GGGGGGGUAGCCCCUUGUGGGAUCUUCGCUAGAUCUCUUCUCCGUGGAACUGAGGAUCUACAUGCAGACAUGUCUUGCGUGCACAGAGAAGGAGCCUCGAACAGGUGCCCUGAGAACAUUUCCCACCAUCAAAGGGGAAGACAGGGAACUGGCCAUUGGGAGUAUUUAGUAAGUGCCAAGCAGUCAGGUGUGCCAGGACUGGGAUGGACACGACCCUCUCCGCCUGCGUCCCACCAGUUCACCUCUUCAUGGAUUUAUUCACCAAGUACUUACUGAGCCUUCACCGUAUCAGGCACCACAGCAGGGGCAACAGACCCAGGCAGACCACCGAGGGAACGCUGACAUAAGCGGAAUGCUUGGUAACCAAUAAAUAAUAUGAAUAACAGACA
rnacentral:lncRNA from 1 species